AGGGCCAUAGCUCAGUGGCAGAGUAUCUGCUUUGCAUGCAGAAGGUCUCAGGUUCAUUCCAGGCAGGCUUGG